rnacentral:rRNA from 1 species
UACGUAGGGGGCAAGCGUUGUCCGGAAUCAUUGGGCGUAAAGAGCGCGUAGGCGGCCCUGUAAGUCCGCUGUGAAAGUCAAGGGCUCAACCCUUGAAUGCCGGUGGAUACUGCAGGGCUAGAGUCCGGAAGAGGCGAGUGGAAUUCCUGGUGUAGCGGUGAAAUGCGCAGAUAUCAGGAGGAACACCGAUGGCGAAGGCAGCUCGCUGGGACGUUACUGACACUGAGGCGCGAAAGCGUGGGGAGCGAACAGG